rnacentral:rRNA from 1 species
GACGAACGCUGGCGGCGUGCUUAACACAUGCAAGUCGAACGGAAAGGCCCUGCUUUUGUGGGGUGCUCGAGUGGCGAACGGGUGAGUAACACGUGAGUAACCUGCCCUUGACUUUGGGAUAACUUCAGGAAACUGGGGCUAAUACCGGAUAGGAGCUCCUGCUGCAUGGUGGGGGUUGGAAAGUUUCGGCGGUUGGGGAUGGACGCGCGGCUUAUCAGCUUGUUGGUGGGGUAGUGGCUUACCAAGGCUUUGACGGGUAGCCGGCCUGAGAGGGUGACCGGCCACAUUGGGACUGAGAUACGGCACAGACUCCUACGGGAGGCAGCAGUGGGGAAUAUUGCACAAUGGGCGGAAGCCUGAUGCAGCAACGCCGCGUGCGGGAUGACGGCCUUCGGGUUGUAAACCGCUUUCGCCUGUGACGAAGCGUGAGUGACGGUAAUGGGUAAAGAAGCACCGGCUAACUACGUG